GCCACAGCCAACUCGGUAGUGCAGGAGCACCUGCCGCUCCCGAUGGCUGCGCGUAGUGAAUUGACUGCUCACAAGGCCUGCAGAGUCCAACCGGGAGAAACCGCAAAGAGCAAAACCCCAAUCCUGGAUCAAUCAGGCAUCUCCCAUCUCCAUUCCUACAACAGAAUAUCAAACGUUACUACAGGAAAUCACUCAAGUGCUCUAAUUGCUGCCAGAAUAAAUGAAGUCUCUAAUCUCACCUGGACCCUCAAAGCUGCCUGUGACCCUCAGUUUGCCUAAUCGACCACCUGACCGGCCCGACCGGCCCGACCGGCCACUUGACCAGCCACUCCUCUGCCUGGAGUUAGAAGAUGUGUUUCCAUCAUAAUAUUCUUCAAUUUCAGAUUUCUACCUUAUCAGAGGUGAUCAGAGAUCGUGGUUCAAAACUUGAUGCACCAGAAAUGU